rnacentral:rRNA from 1 species
UGGGGAAUAUUGCACAAUGGAGGGAACUCUGAUGCAGCGACGCCGCGUGAACGAAGAACGCUCUCGAGUCGUAAAGUUCUUUUAUAUGGGCAGAUAAUGACGGUACCAUAAGAAAAAGACCCGGCUAACUACGUGCCAGCAGCCGCGGUAAUACGUAGGGGGCUAGCGUUGUCCGGAAUCACUGGGCGUAAAGGGUUCGCAGGCGGAAAUGCAAGUCAGGUGUAAAAGGCAGUAGCUUAACUACUGUAAGCAUUUGAAACUGCAUAUCUUGAGAAGAGUAGAGGUAAGUGGAAUUUUUAGUGUAGCGGUGAAAUGCGUAGAUAUUAAAAAGAAUACCGGUGGCGAAGGCGACUUACUGGGCUCAUUCUGACGCUGAGGAACGAAAGCGUGGGUAGCAAACAGG